CCUACGGGCGUCAGCAGUGAGGAAUAUUGGUCAAUGGGCUUACGCCUGAACCAGCCAAGUCGCGUGAGGGAAGACUGCCCUAUGGGUUGUAAACCUCUUUUGUCAGGGAGCAACGCCGGCUACGUGUAGCCGGACUGAGAGUACCUGAAGAAAAAGCAUCGGCUAACUCCGUGCCAGCAGCCGCGGUAAUACGGAGGAUGCGAGCGUUAUCCGGAUUUAUUGGGUUAAGAUGGUGCGUAGGCGGAAUGCCAAGUCAGCGGUAAAAUCGCGGGGCUCAACCUCGCUCCGCCGUUGAAACUGGCGGUCUUGAGGGGGCGAGAAGGAUGCGGAAUGCGUGGUGUAGCGGUGAAAUGCAUAGAUAUCACGAAGAACUCCGGUUGCGAAGGCAGCAUACCGGCGCCCAACUGACGCUGAAGCACGAAGGCGUGGGUAUCGAACAGGAUUAGAUACCCUGGUAGUC
rnacentral:rRNA from 1 species